ACCUACGGGGCGCAGCAGUAGGGAAUUUUCGUCAAUGGGCGCAAGCCUGAACGAGCAAUGCCGCGUGAACGAGGAAGGUCUUCGGAUCGUAAAGUUCUGUUGAAGGGGAAAAAGAGCGGAGAGAGGAAAUGCUUUCUGAUUGAUAUUACCCUUCGAGGAAGUCACGGCUAACUACGUGCCAGCAGCCCCGGUAAUACGUAGGUGGCGAGCGUUAUCCGGAAUGAUUGGGCGUAAAGGGUGCGUAGGCGGCCUGCUAAGUCUGGAGUGAAAGGUACCGGCUCAACCGGUACAGGCUCUGGAAACUG
rnacentral:rRNA from 1 species